CGGAAGUGCCCUCGUGGUCGUGCGUGCUGGAAGCGUGAAGAACUCCCAUCAUCACAGGUCGCAGGGCACUUCCUCGUUUCUCGAGAAGCUAUCCACAGGCAUCAAGCCGGUGGAUCAG
rnacentral:sRNA from 1 species